AAAUCACUGGAAAGGUUAGAAGGACAAAGAGGGCAGUGUUGAAAGUAUCAUCCACAUGGAAUUGAAAUCACUAAGAAUUAAGACAAGCGUGUUGUUAGAGUGAGUCACAAACUAGAAUCUUUGAAACUUGAGGAGAAUGAAAAAGAGACUGGUAGAUGUUUACAGCAAGGAGAGGCAGGGGUGAUAAGAGACUAAUGAUAUAGAUUUAAAGCUGGAAAAUUUUAGAGAUAAUGGCUUAGAAGCAGCAAUGAGGAGCACUGAGGAAACCUAGUCUACUUUUAUCCUGGAUUCAGGAGGCAUGAGAGAGAUGACAGCUACUGUUUGAGACUACUCCAGUAGAAAAAGGCUCCUCUGGGAAGAACCAGGUUUCUGUACAGUAACUUUGGAAAAAAAGUUGAGAAUACAAGAGAUUCUAUUGGUAGUAGACCAUGGGGUGCAGAGAGCACAGUGGAGGUGUUUCAGGAUUGGGGGAACGGAGACAGAAGAGAUACAUAGCCUAUGAAAAUAAUGAAAGCCCCGUGUGUGAGGCACACACUAUUAGCGAUGGUAUUAGUCCUUUCCUCUGCCUGCCUCAGACUGACUUUUCCACAUAUUGGGGCUCUGCCUGCAGCAAGUAGUGUGUCCCAGUUCUCAGCUGUCUAAAAUGGAUCUAGCUCCUGGAACAGAGAGGAGAAGCAGGUAAUAAAGGAGCCCUCAGCCAAUAUUGCAAGAUUAGACAUAACUGUCAGUCAACUCUAACUGAUUGCCCUAACAGAGACUUCUCUGAUUUUCUCAUUCUGUUUGUAUUGAGACAUCUGGAUAGGACAGAAAAAUCACUGAAAAGUCCAUCUCAAUUGCAUAAUAAACCUGGCAAUGGCAAACUUCUGUCUCACUGCAGUAUCUAGCCCCUUUGGAUUGUGAGGGGUUUGUGUCAGUGAAUGGAGAGUCAACACCAUCAUUUCAACCAGAUCCUUCUCAAACCAGCCACUGCCAAAAAUUGCUUUUAAAAAGAAGAAAGAAGAAAACAAGAAAAUUCAUUUUUGUUAGGAUAGAUGAUAAAUGGCUCAUCUGACACAUGUGCACGUUGAUUCAUAGAAAACAUAAUUGUUUUUUUGCUGUUAUCACGGCCUUCUUGGUGGAGCUGUUGUUUUGCAGAAAUCAGUGGCCUGAAGGGGAGUGUGUGUGUGUGUGUGUGUGUGUGUGUGUGUGUGUGUGAAAAAUUCCUGUUCUGCAGCAGGAUAUAAGUAGAGCAUGCCCUAAUGGAUUCAGAGGCAUUCUACACUGGAGUUACAGCUCAGUCUUCACAGCUGAACUUUUAUUUUUCAGAACAUAGUUCUUCAGCCAUAAGGCAUUUGGCAAUUUUCACCAAUAAAAAAAUAAAUUGCAUAAAAGGGAGUUGGGGUUGAACCCGCCUAUCACCUUUUAUGUGAAUUUUCUCUUUCUAUUCUCUCAGCGCAUGUCUGCCAGCAUUUACAUUCCUGAAAUAAUUUAUGUGGGGAUAGAAGAAAAACAGAAAAGAAAACAACUUCCUCAAACUACUCUACAAGGAGAACAUUUGGAAGAUCAUGUAGGGAAGCACUGGAACCAUUUUAUCAGAGUGACAGGUCGAUGGAAUAGUGAUGCAGUGGUAAAAUUAAAGGUUAUGACAACUGAAAUAAUUUGUAUGAAGAUAAAAUGUGGUUUUGUUCACAAACAGGAAUUCGCCGUGAACUUUUCAGUCUCCACUUGAUCUUAGCCAAAAGGCCAAGAAGUGAUAACACUUUUCAGUCUCAAUAUAGGUUUGGCAAAUUGAUUUUCCCCCCAGCAACAUAAUACUCAGAGAUCCCGAAAGAAUGGCUCUAUAUUGGCAGAAUUUUGGAGUCAUUGCAAGCUUCUUGGGGGUGUGGAGAUUCAGCCACGCUUCCAUGAGACUACUGGUGACACUCCAUCUGUCAGAUCUCAAAUUGACAGAAGUGAUAAGGAGAAAGACAGAGCAUGAGCAGGGGAGAGGCAGACAAAGAAUCGGAAGCAG